GAAAUGCGAUAAGUAAUGUGAAUUGCAGAAUUCCGUGAAUCAUCGAAUCUUUGAACGCACAUUGCGCCCUCUGGCAUUCCGGGGGGCAUGCCUGUCCGAGCGUCAUUACGCACCCUCAAGCCCGGCUUGUGUGAUGGGCCCCGGCGUCUCGUUCGCGAGACGGGCCCGAAAGGCAGCGGCGGCGUCGACCCGAUGAGCCCGAGCGGAUGGGGACUUCUGUCACACGUUCGCGGUGCGGACCGGCGCCUGCUUGACUUUUCUGAUUAUCCAGGUUGACCUCGGAUCAGGUAGGGAUACCCGCUGAACUUAAGC
rnacentral:misc_RNA from 1 species